GGGGCGAACGGGUGAGGAGCACGUGAAGAAUCUGCCCUCCACUUUGGGAUAACUCCGGGAAACCGGGGCUAAUACCGAAUAUUGAAGCAUAAGCGGCAUCGCUGAGCUUUGAAAGAAUUUCGGUGGAGGAUGACUUCGCGGCCUAUCAGCUUGUUGGUGAGGUAAUGGCUCACCAAGGCUACGACGGGUAUCCGGCCUGAGAGGGCGACCGGACACACUGGGACUGAGACACGGCCCAGACUCCUACGGGAGGCAGCAGUGGGGAAUAUUGGGCAAUGGACGCAAGUCUGACCCAGCGACGCCGCGUGAGGGAUGAAGGCCUUCGGGUUGUAAACCUCUUUCAGUAGGGAAGAAGCGAAAGUGACGGUACCUACAAAGAAGCACCGGCUAACUAUGUGUCUGUG
rnacentral:rRNA from 1 species